rnacentral:rRNA from 1 species
UACGUAGGGUGCGAGCGUUAAUCGGAAUUACUGGGCGUAAAGCGUGCGCAGGCGGUCAUGUAAGACAGGUGUGAAAUCCCCGGGCUUAACCUGGGAACUGCAUUUGUGACUGCAUUGCUGGAGUGCGGCAGAGGGGGAUGGAAUUCCGCGUGUAGCAGUGAAAUGCGUAGAUAUGCGGAGGAACACCGAUGGCGAAGGCAAUCCCCUGGGCCUGCACUGACGCUCAUGCACGAAAGCGUGGGGAGCAAACAGG